rnacentral:rRNA from 1 species
CGGGUGAGUAACGCGUGGGUAACCUGCCUUACACAGGGGGAUAACACCUGGAAACAGGUGCUAAUACCGCAUAAGCGCACAGCACCGCAUGGUGCAGUGUGAAAAGAUUUAUCGGCAUACGAUAGAUCCGCGUCCGAUUAGCCAGUUGGCGGGGUAGAAGCCCACCAAAGCGACGAUCAGUAGCCGGCCUGAGAGGGCGGACGGCCACAUUGGGACUGAGACACGGCCCAAACUCCUACGGAAGGCAGCAG